ACAUGCAGGCUGUCUGGGUGUCUAAAACACACCCAAAGAAAGGGCCGGGCAAGACCGGUGCCAGCCGCCGCGGUAAUACCGGCGGCUCGAGUGGUGGCCACUUUUAUUGGGCUUAAAGCGUUCGUAGCUGGGUUGUUAAGUCUCUUGGGAAAUCUGGCAGCUUAACUGUCAGGCGUCUAAGAGAUACUGGCAAUCUAGGAACCGGGAGAGGUGAGGGGUACUUCGGGGGUAGGAGUGAAAUCCUGUAAUCCUCGAGGGACCACCUGUGGUUAAUGCGCCUCACCAAAACGGCUUCUACAGUGAGGGACGAAAGCUGGGGGAGCAAACCGGAUUAGAUACCCGGGUAGUCCCAGCCGUAAACGAUGCGCGUUAGGUGUGUCUAUGACCACUAGU
rnacentral:rRNA from 1 species